GUGGUCACACACACGCACAGCCCAGGCUCACGCACGCACACGCACGGUGCCAGGGGAACUUGGACUCCGUUACCUGGCCGUCAUGUCCUGGUCUUUCCCAAACUACAACAGAGAAUUAGAAGCCAACUCUAUUAAAAAAUAUGGAUGUGACUGCAACUGGC
rnacentral:lncRNA from 1 species